UUGAGUGGAUUUUUAUUUAAGGUACAUGGGUUUUCCAUGUCAUUGGACAAGGCAUUCACAGACACGUCACACAGUGAAAUUUGAUUAUCAGGAUUGGCCUCACAGUGCCACAUUGAAUCUGAGAUAAAACAGCCCCAGCUCCAAAAUUGGAAGCGUCGGAAUCGAUAAUGAACAAGCCCUCUGGCUGGGGAAAUGACAGAAUCGGUGGACUGGGCUAGCUUUUGGCUCUCCUCGAGAUCGAUGGACGACUUAUGGUACAAUUCCACCAGGUGCUCAGGCACUGAUUGGCUUUGAGAGUGACAUACAGAAACAGGCUCCUGACUGAUUUGAUGCACAGAACGUCCACGUUGCCUAUCAGCGAGUCUGUGCGCUUCUAACCGAAUGGCAUGUGUUUCAGCCUCAUUAAUAUCUUUAGGCCGAAGUUCACGUAUUCUCAACCUCAUGUCCGAGUCUUGGAUGGAAUCAACAAAAUGAUCGAGGGCCAAGAUGUUAGUGAGCGAUGAAUCGGCUGUCGGAUAAGCCUGCCGUGUUAAUUUACGAAUGGCCUGGGCUAAUUCAGGCAGAGUUUCAGCCUUUCCUCUACAACGAGUUUGGAGUCGGGCUCGAUACAUUUCUGAACGUUCAAGUGAGCCAAAUCUAAUACUGAGAGUCCUAAUGAGAAUAUUGAAGUCUUUUCUCUCCAGUGGGCUGAGUUCAGUUAAAAUAGCUCUGGCAUUACCA